rnacentral:rRNA from 1 species
GACAGAGGGUGCAAACGUUGUUCGGAUUUACUGGGCGUAAAGCGCGUGUAGGCGGCUUUGCAAGUCGGAUGUGAAAUCCCACGGCUCAACCGUGGAAGUGCAUCCGAAACUGCAUCGCUCGAGUCUCGGAGAGGAAGGUGGAAUGCUUGGUGUAGAGGUGAAAUUCGUAGAUAUCAAGCAGAACACCUGCGGCGAAGGCGGCCUUCUGGACGAUGACUGACGCUGAGACGCGAAAGCAUGGGGAGCAAACAGG